ACAGAAACAACAGACAACUUAAACGUGAGCAUUACAUCAUAGGAGACUUCAAAUCGCUGGUACUGAUACCACCACCAACACAGUGCUGUGGAUGAUGCUCUACAUGGUCGUGUAUCCAGAUAUCCAAGGUACUACAUCAGAAAGAGGGGUGUGGAGGACCAGUUCAAUGGAACCUAAAGAGAACUCCUUGUUGAAGCAUGAUGUAGUACAGUGCCCAAUCAUAAUGCUAUGUGUAACAUAUCCAGUGUCCUGUUUCCCAACGCUCGUUGCUUUGUAAUAAUGUUUUCCAUGUCAUUUGUACCCGUUCACACCACAGAGAGGGUGCAGGCGGAGAUCGAUGCAGUGGUGGGCCCAGACAGGGUCCCGUCUCUCACUGAUAAAGGCAGCCUGCCGUUCACAGAGGCCACCAUCAUGGAGGUGCAGAGGAUGACUGUGGUGGUCAGUUAAGAACAAAUUCUUAUUUACAAUGACAGCCUACCCCGGCCAACGUUGGGCCAAUUGUGCGCCGCCCUAUGGGACUCCAAAUCACGGCCGGAUGUAAUACAGCCUGGAAUCGAACCAGGGACUGUAGUGACGCCUCUUGCACUGAGAUGCAGUGCCUUAGACCACUGCACCACUCGGGAGCAUUUGCACAACAAACAAAGACAAGAGCCUUACUGAAGAAUAAAUAGUCCUCUUUUUAUUUAUUUUUUACUUUUAGCAGAUGCUCUUAUUAAGAGUAACUUACAGGAGCAAUUAGGGUUAAGUGCCUUGCACAAAGGGCACAUCUACAGAUUUCACCUAGUCAGCUAGGGGAAUGGAACCAGCAACACCUUUCAGUUACUGGUCCAACCUAUUAACCGCUAGGCUACUACCCAGUGUGGCAAAAGGCAAAAAAGAUCAGACCCCUCCCUCAUCCAGAUCCAGAGCCACAUUUAUGGGCUCUAAGACCAACUAUUGACUGGGGAAUAAAAUAAGAAACUGCCACAACAGCAUGCGACCAGCAGAGGGAGCCAAAUGCACGGGAACUACAAGUACUGAGCAUUAAACAAGAACCAACCUACAGGAAGACUGAGGAGGAGUGGUAUGAACAGACCUACCAAACCAACGCCCCAACGGAAGAAUACUUAUGGGCAUCAGUGCUGAAGGAACUAACAUUGGACUAAGUGCUACAUAAUCUUGAGCACGUGGCAAAGAAAAGUGGCAAGGACAUAAUGUAAUGGCACACUGUGCUAAGAUAGUUAGGGGGAAGAUGUUCGGGAGUGCAAUCUGAGUGUCUAAAAGAGGUAUAAAAUUAGGAGAGAUCAGUGCCUAGGCAUGAUCCUCAACCCAUAUGAUUUGGACAUCAUAGAGAAUCAUCAGACCAGGUACAUUACCUUUACUAUACUCUGUUUGUAUUGGCUACUUUGACAUCAAGGCACGAGCAAACUAUUGACUGGUACAUCUUAAGAAUUAUGUUGUACACUAGAAGCUCAAACCACAUAAAAAGAAUAAGAGAACAAGGUUGUGAAAGAGAGAAGAUUGGCAAGAUUGAAAACCCCAGAAAUAAGUAAAGUAAAUAAGUAAAGCCUCGUAGUAGCCAAGGGUCGAUAAAAGGGAAUCAAUAUCUAAACAGUAGGCAGUAAAAAGUGGAACCAUAGGAAAUUCGGACUAAAUAAGAAAAGUAUAGUAUUAUAAACAGCAGAGGCCAAAAUAUUACUACUCUUAUAAAGAGCAGUUUCGGGAAGGACCAAGGGAAUAGAGCUUCAAGGUAAAUAUAUGGGUGUUUGCUUUGUUUAAGAGUUAUAAGAAGUGUGUUAAGCGAUUUACAUUUGCAAUAUUAUCUGGCAUAGUAUAGCGCAUUAAGGAUUGAUUGAGCAUUAUUGAUGUAUUAGGACUGUAGAACCAUUGAAUUGUAAUAACGUGUAUAAGACAAAAAACAGAUUGACUUAAUAAAAGCUUGAAACUUUGACAACUAGGCCAGAUUAACGAUCUGGAGAGCAAACGCCUCUGACACUCUCACGGAACAGAAGGUGACCCUGGUUAUAGGUUAAAGUGAUUGCACUAAAGAAUAUUUCAUUGUGUGGACAAUAAUAUAUCGUUGGAAAAGUCUAUACAUAUAACAAUACUAGUUUCCAAGUGACUACAAGCUGACGAGUAUAAUAACUAACAGAAGAUGAGUUAUUAGGUAUUGAUAUAUAAAGAGAAGAAGACAAGGUUAGGGAGUAUAGGAAGAGUCUAUAAACAUAAAGUAAUAAAGUCCUCAUCUAUCCAAGGCCCCAUACUAGACUACUGUUAUUAGGUAUUGAUAUAUAAGAGAAGAAGACAAGGUUAGGGAGUAUAGGAAGAGUCUAUAAACAUAAAGUAAUAAAGUCCUCAUCUAUCCAAGGCCCCAUACUAGACUACUGUUAUUAGGUAUUGAUAUAUAAGAGAAGAAGACAAGGUAAGGGAGUAUAGGAAGAGUCUAUAAACAUAAAGUAAUAAAGUCCUCAUCUAUCCAAGGCCCCAUACUAGACUACUGUUAUUAGGUAUUGAUAUAUAAGAGAAGAAGACAAGGGAGUAUAGGAAGAGUCUAUAAACAUAAAGUAAUAAAGUCCUCAUCUAUCCAAGACCCCAUACUAGACCGGGAAAUAAGGGAGUGACAACAUGAACGAAGGAACAAACCCAACUCACGCCAAGGGCCAUUACGAAUACAUAGAAGGGUCUAACCAGAGGACGGGGUAGAGGCUUUUGCUGCAGACGACGGGCAAAAGUCAGCACCGUGACACCAGCCAAAAACAAUUGUAGACUUUGGCAUAAACAUUUAUCAAUAGUAGUAAUAUGGAUAUGUAGAACAUCUCAUCUUUGUGCAAUUCAAUAAUCAAUGAAAUUGUUGACAGUCAGGCAAUUGACACAACUACAAGGGAAGGAGCUGUAAUAGUAAAUGUCAGGCCCUAUUAUGAUGUCAGUCUUAGUUUUGACCAGCAGGGGGAGUAACACCAUGCCAACACAUUAUAGCACUUCUAUAACCUACACGUUGUGAUGACACUGCUAUCAAACAAACAUUCACACUUGUAAUUCACAGAACUAUGGGAGGUUUACACAACAUUUCCCUGAAACAUGAAGGUCAUUACGUUAACAUUAGGUUAAUCAUUAUGUAAACAUGCAGAAAGCGGUCGUCUUUUGAGGUGAAUCUCACAGGGUGGGUAGAGCCAUCUAUCAUGAUCCUAGCCAGGCCUAAUGGAUGAGGAUGAGGGUGUACUCAGUCGUGUAAACACUGUGGUAGGUGGUUCAGAAGUGUGUGUGAGUGCUUCUGGCAUUGCACGUGCACACACACACACACACACACACACACACACACACACACACACACACACACACACACACACACACACACACACACACACACACACACACACACACACACACACAC